rnacentral:rRNA from 1 species
AGUGAACGCUGGCGGUAGGCCUAACACAUGCAAGUCGAACGGCAGCACAGUAAGAGCUUGCUCUUACGGGUGGCGAGUGGCGGACGGGUGAGGAAUACAUCGGAAUCUACUUUUUCGUGGGGGAUAACGUAGGGAAACUUACGCUAAUACCGCAUACGACCUGCGGGUGAAAGCAGGGGAUCUUCGGACCUUGCGCGAUUGAAUGAGCCGAUGUCGGAUUAGCUAGUUGGCGGGGUAAAGGCCCACCAAGGCGACGAUCCGUAGCUGGUCUGAGAGGAUGAUCAGCCACACUGGAACUGAGACACGGUCCAGACUCCUACGGGAGGCAGCAGUGGGGAAUAUUGGACAAUGGGCGCAAGCCUGAUCCAGCCAUACCGCGUGGGUGAAGAAGGCCUUAGGGUUGUAAAGCCCUUUUGUUGGGAAAGAAAAGCAGCAGGUUAAUACCCCGCUGUUCUGACGGUACCCAAAGAAUAAGCACCGGCUAACUUCGUG